GGAUAACUUACCCUUAGGACUGGGAUAACUCUGGGAAACUGGGGAUAAUACUGGAUAUUUGGCUAUGCCUGGAAUGGUUUGCCUUUGAAAUGUUUUCUUUUUCGCCUAAGGAUAGAUCUGCGGCUGAUUAGGUCGUUGGUGGGGUAAUGGCCCACCAAGCCGAUGAUCGGUACGGGUUGUGAGAGCAAGAGCCCGGAGAUGGAACCUGAGACAAGGUUCCAGACCCUACGGGGUGCAGCAGGCGCGAAACCUCCGCAAUGUACGAAAGUGCGACGGGGGGAUCCCAAGUGUUAUGCUUUUUUUGUAUAACUUUUCAUUAGUGUAAAAAGCUUUUAGAAUAAGAGCUGGGCAAGACCGGUGCCAGCCGCCGCGGUAACACCGGCAGCUCGAGUGGUAGCUGUUUUUAUUGGGCCUAAAGCGUUCGUAGCCGGUUUGAUAAGUCUUUGGUGAAAGCUUGUAGCUUAACUAUAAGAAUUGCUGGAGAUACUAUUAGACUUGAAGUCGGGAGAGGUUAGAGGUACUACCGGGGUAAGGGUGAAAUCCUAUAAUCCUGGGAGGACCACCUGUGGCGAAGGCGUCUAACUGGAACGAUCUUGACGGUGAGUAACGAAAGCCAGGGGCGCGAACCGGAUUAGAUACCCGGGUAGUCCUGGCCGUAAACGAUGUAGACUUGGUGUUGGAAUGGCUUUGGGUUGUUCCGGUGCCGAAAGGGAAGCUGUUAAGUCUACCGCCUGGGAAG
rnacentral:rRNA from 1 species